CCUUUCGCGCGUUCCGGGAACCUGAUGACCUCUACACUGCAGAAACCACCCUGAGGCAUCCAGGUGUCUUCCGCAAGGUUCGAGUUGCUUAUUGUGACUAAAACAGAAAAAAGUGAAACUGUGGGUAAGGGGACUUCCAUAAAGUAAGGCAAAGGUCAUCACUUAGUCAUCCAGGAGACCUCAGUGGUUCAUCCAGGGCAGCACUGAAGACCUGAUAUUGCUCAUCCCCAAGCAUUGUCAGAUCUAUUAGAGUGUUAGUAAUUGCCUUCCCUACUUUCACUCAGUGUGGAAACCAUGUGGGUAUAGAAUCUGAAUGUGCCCGUACAUCUGUUUCAUAAGAAUGAAAUACCUUCAUCUCUUUCUGGUUUAAUGAUGUUCAGUUCUCAUCCUAUGAUCAUGGAAGUGUGCCAAGAGACUAUCAGCUAAUAGAAGAUGGUCUACAAUAUACCUCAUAUAUUUAUGAUCUUAGUAAGUGUGUUACUAAUGAAAAGAGUGCAAGGAUACACACCUAUAAUUGUGAGACAAGUGAAAGUACAGAGAAGAGAAAUACCAAGACAGUGAUUUGGGAACCAAGAAGACAGUUAUUUGUGAAGCAACCAGAGUUCAAAGGGCAGAGCAGAUAGAGAUUGGAAGAGCUGGCAAGAUGGCAGCUGUGUGAUUCUGGAUACUCCAAGAGGGCAAUGUUGAGAAAGACUAAAUAUACCAAGACUUCACUAGGUAGACUGCAGGAAGGAAAGGAAAUAGAACAGAGAUCUUUCAGGCCAUGGAGCAAAUUUGACUGUGAAUGAGGAAGAAAGGGAGAGAAGUUUGAGUGGAAACAUCUAAAACUUCUGGCCAUGGAGGAACCAUUAUGGAAUCACUGGGGCAAAAUCAGCCAACAGAGUCUCAAGUGUCACUGGAACAAGUCUACCUAAGUCUCUCCAUUGCAUUUAGGUAUUGGCAGUAAGCAGCUCUUGGGCCUCAGAGGUGAUUUUAAUCCAUAGUGCCUGAGGUCCCAUCAGUUAAGUUCCAGAUAGUAGUAGAAAGAUCUGUAAGAUAAAUUAACCCAGCUCUCACAUUUGCUUAACUAAGAAUAGAUGGAAGAGUUCAUCAGAAUGCAAGCUUUUGGCAAGUACAGGGAUUAGAAAAAAGAGCAAUUGUAUAAAUGAGCUCUAAGGGGCAGUAAAGAAUAAGUGGAUUCAGUUACCACAGGUCUUAUUUUUAUUCCGUGGACUAGAAGAAGAGUUCGAUUUCAUGCCGAUCUCCUGAGGGGAAGCAUUUUGUGGACAGCAUCUCAUUAAAAAAACACUAUUCUUUAUCUGAUAAAUAUGGCAGGCUUCCUUCUUAAUCCUACGUGGUAGAUGAGCAUAUGGGCAGUGGCUGAGACCGAAGGGAUGGCUCAGAUUAUGGAAUCCCAGGUGUCUUGAAACACCAGAGGAAAAGGAAGGCAUCAUCAAACACUACCACAUCUUCUGAAAAUAGAAGGUAUAUAUAUAAAGAAAUUGGGUUGCUAAGAACCAUGUCUAUCCUAUUUUUAAAGCCAAAGGAGAUUGGAUUGAGAAGGAAUACUGAGAAGUGAAGCAAAGGCCUCACUGUGCCUUCCUGAGAACACUAGGUUGAGUCCAAAAGAAUUGGAAAAUGCAAAAAUCUGUUGUACGUCAGCUGAAAUAAUAAUGUGUGUUCUUAAAACAAAAGAAAUAGACACUGUCUCAGUUACUGUGGUAGACUAACAACUGGUGGUCAGCCUGAAACACCCCACUGGACUGAAUUAGUGUGGCACUGGUGUGGAUGGCCCCCUCAGGAUUGUUGCCAUCAACAUAAAUAGGAGAAGUGGAGAGGAGGAAGUGUGAUGUUGUUGGUUCUCCUGUUGUGGCUGGUUUUUCUGGAGGAGCUUGUUGAACUUCUUUCCUGAUAUGAACUUGGCUGUUCUCAUUGCCAGAGGAGCUCAGAACCUUGUUAUCACUGAGAAUGGCUUCAGGUCACUUUGGGGAAGCUCUGCUCCUUACUCUGAGCAUCACUGCCCGGCUCCAGUGCAAAACCCUUAACCUAACUGGCACAGAUCCUUCACCCCACAGACAUAGACUUUGUAGUUUCCACUGCUAACUUUUGGGCCUUGUCAGCACAUAUCUGUGAAACAGAUUUGCACGCGACACUGUCAUGGGCUCUAGGAUUUCAGAUGGACUUGUGAGGGGCAUCGUCAUUGGCUCCAGGUCUUCAUCUUGACUCAUGCAGAAUAUUGCCAUAGGAUCCAGGGCCUCAGCGGGAUAAUUUGGAUUCUCAGUGUGUGGACAGAUUUCCUGAAUUUUUUGUGUUUGAUUCAUUGGGUGACUACUAUAAAAUAAUCAAGAUCCCAGAAAUUCAACACAAGAACAGACUAUAAAAAGCUGUUAGAGAAAAGAAAAUGUUAAAAGCUGUUAAGGAAAAAUCUAUAAAGGGAAACCUAUCAGCAUCACCACAGACUUCUCAACACAAACAAUUAAAUCAAGAAGAGUUUGGAGUAAAGUAUUUUAAGUCCUGAAAGGAAACAACUUGCAACCCAGAUUGAUGUAUCAUGCAAAACUAUCUUUCAAAAUUAAUGGAAAAGCAAGAUACUUCCAUGACAAAAAACAACUGAAGGAAUUCAUGACCACCAAACCAACCCUGUAAAAAAUACUGAAAGACAUUCUUGAGAUAAAAAAAAAAAAAAAAGACCAUGGUUCCAAUAAUAGGGAAGACAGUAGAAUGGAGGGGAAAAUUAGGCAGUGAAUAGCAGAAAAAUAGCAUGGCAGAGAUCAGCCAGUGCAUGUUGGCCAUAACUAUUAAUAUAGAUGGCCUUAAUUCUCCAACAAAAACAAACACAGAGUGGAUCAGGACACAAGAUCCAUCAAUGUGCUUCACACAAGAAAUGCCUUUGACUUGAAAGGGGGUUCAUAGACUGAAAGUCAAAGGGGAGAGAACAAUACUCUCUGGGACAGGGACUCCAAAAGAAAUGGAGGUAGCUUGCCCAUCGGCUGCAGACUGCCUAAGAAAGCCAUGGCACUUUUAUACAGUGGAAAGCUACUGAGCUAUAACGACAGAUAACCUUGAGGCUCUUUGUAGAUAAAUGGAUACAACUUGAGAUCAUGAUCAUGAAUGAAAUGGUUCAGAGUCACAUGGGUGAAUAUUGUGUUGUUUCCCUAGUAUGAAGAACUCUGAAGAGUUGGUGGGAUACAAAAUGCACAGUACAUACUGUGAAAGUGAAAGGGGAGGAAGUAUCUAAAAAAAAGUCAGUAGUCAUUAUUAAUCUAUUAUGGUGAUUUGAAACCCUUAUUUUUCUCAUUGUUCUAUUUAGUUUGUAUUUUUCUGUUUUGGUUUGUCUAAUCUUAUUGUAUUUAAUGGUAUGGGCAGCUAUUUCAAAGAUAACAAAAUAUGGUAGCCAUUAUUGAUUUCCUAUUAGCUUGUUUUGAAGCCUUGUAUUGCUUUCAUUGUUUUGACUGCGUUUAUUCCAUUUUGUUUUGUUUGUAUCACCUCUGAUGGGAUAGGCAACUACUUUGAAGAUAACAAGUUGCAGUAUGGUACCCACUAUGGUUUCCCUAUUAUUUUGUUUUGAAGUCCUGUACUGCUGUCAUUAUUUUUAUUGGUUUUCUUCUGUACUCUUUUGUUACGCCUUUAUGUUAUAUCUAUUUUAUUAUGCUUGAUGUUAUGAGCAAUUGUUUUGACAAUACCAAGAGGCAUUACAAUAGCCAUUAUUGAUUUUCUUGUGUUUUGCUUGAAAAUCAUGUACCAUGUUCAUUGCUUUGUUUUGAUUGGCUACAUUCUGCAUUAUUUCAUUUGGUUUUACUCUCUUCAAUUGAAAAUGAUAUGAAAAAAGUCAGGAACUGAACCUUAAGAGCAUCUUUCUGCUCCUUUUUUUCCUCUAAUGGACUGACCCAGCAAUCACCCACCCUUAAUCCCAACACCUUUAUUCCCAGCAUUGUACCUCCUAUCAAUCAUACACUCAGCCACCUCCAAAAUUCUCUGUGGCCCUAUGAGGUUUUCGGAUGGCCGGGUAUCCAGACACAAACCAUAGCAGAUACUAACUAAUUGUGUAUGCAUGCCAUUAUUGGAUCGAUGAUUUUUAUAUCGUUUGAUAUCCUGUAAACGUAAUACUCCCAAUAACCAUAUGAAGUAAAUUUUAUUACAGGUUGAGAAA